CGCUGCGAGGGGUACAAGCGCUGCGCCUUCUCCAGGAAGCGGCGGGCCUUGUCGGGCUGGUUGGCCUUGGCGGCGGCCAGCGCAAUGCCGAUGCACCGCUCCGCCUCGUCCCGCUCCUGGGGCUCCAGGGACUGCGACUGGAACGGCGGAAGGAAGGACAUGCUGAAGAGGGAGGAGGCUGCUCUGGGCUGCUCCAUGGAUUCAGUCCCGCUGGGGAUGGAACGGCCUCAGAUUAGUUCCAGAGGAGAGAAUGGUGGUAUUUCCGUGGAGGCUGUCCAUGGGGAGCACAGCCCCUCCUGCAGACAGGGGGGACAAACCUGCACCCCCUCCUUGUGACAUGUGUGAGACAUGGGAUCCACACCCGAGUGCAGCAGGGAAACGAGGGGAGGAAGGACUUGACAGUAGAUGGAAUGAUCUCCAACAGCAGGAUCUGUAUCCUGGUAUGAAUCACGGAAUGGUUGGGCUUGGAAGGGACCUUAAAUCCCAUCUCAUUCUGCCCCCUGCCAUGGGCAGGGACACCUUCCACUGUCCCAGGUUGCUCCAAGCCCCGUCCAACCUGGCCUUGGACACUUCCAGGGAUCCAGGGGCAGCCACAGCUUCUCUGGGCAACCUGUGCCAGGGCCUCCCCACCCUGACAGGGAAGAGUUUCUUCCCAAUAUCCCAUCUAACCCUGCCCUCUGGCAGUGGGAAGCCAUUCCCCCUUGUCCUGGCACUCCAGGCCCUUGGAAAUAGUCUCUCUCCAUCUUUCUUCUUGUCUCCCCCUUCAGGCCCUGGAAGGCCACAAUCAGGUCACCCCAGAGCUUCUCCUCUCCAGGCUGAACAAUCCCAACUCUCCCAGCCUUUCCUCCCAGCAGAGCUGCUCCAGCCCUCUGAUCCUCUUGGGGCCUCCUCUGGACUGGGUCCAGCAGCUCCAUGUCCUUGCUGGGCUGAGGAAGGAAGGUAUUCUAGAGGUGAUUUAUCCCCUUUGUCUUUCCAGCUCUGGAAAGCCGUGGGAUUUUUUUCCCCUCCCUUUCCCAAACACUCCAUGUCCUGUGCCCCGUUCACCACCAGCCUCGGGUGAAGAGCUGGAGGAACCCAGAGAGACGAGCCACGAGCCACGUCGUUGUGAGCAACACCUUUACAGGACAUUUUACAGAGAGGGCAGCACUCAGCAAACAUCUGUCAGCACAUUCCCAGGACAAUUCCCCACAGAGAGGGCUCUCAAUUGAGGAAAUCCAUCAGGGACCUCCUGCAAGGCAGGAAGGGCAGCAGAGCCAGCUGCUCCACCACUUUUAGCUGCUCUUACCCAGAGGCAGCACCUCAGCCCAAGGGGUGCACGGAGUGUUUGGCCAUCCGAAAUCCUGGUGUGGGAUCCAGGAAACCCGGGAAUCUUUCCCAGGAGCAAUCUAAGAGCAAAGAUAACCCUGGUGCCAUUUUGCCAUAGCAUUAAUAAAGGUGAUUUGGGUGCAGCUUGCUCCACCCCCGGCUCUCCCACACAGCACAUCACAGGGGGGGUGGCAGUGGAAGUCCUUUCCUUUUUCCUGAGAGAGAGGAAUUGCAGGGAGGCAGCAGCAAGCAGAAGCUGCAAAUACAACAGGCUGGGAUAUUGAA